UGGGGAAUAUUGCACAAUGGGCGAAAGCCUGAUGCAGCAACGCCGCGUGAGGGAUGACGGCCUUCGGGUUGUAAACCUCUUUUAGUAGGGAAGAAGCGAAAGUGACGGUACCUGCAGAAAAAGCACCGGCUAACUACGUGCCAGCAGCCGCGGUAAUACGUAGGGUGCAAGCGUUGUCCGGAAUUAUUGGGCGGAAAGAGCUCGUAGGCGGUUUGUCGCGUCUGCUGUGAAAUCCCGAGGCUCAACCUCGGGUCUGCAGUGGGUACGGGCAGACUAGAGUGUGGUAGGGGAGAUUGGAAUUCCUGGUGUAGCGGUGGAAUGCGCAGAUAUCAGGAGGAACACCGAUGGCGAAGGCAGAUCUCUGGGCCAUUACUGACGCUGAGGAGCGAAAGCAUGGGGAGCGAACA
rnacentral:rRNA from 1 species